UACGGAGGGUGCAAACGUUGCUCGGAAUCAUUGGGCGUAAAGCGCACGUAGGCGGCUCCUCAAGUCGGAUGUGAAAGCCCUGGGCUCAACUCAGGAAGUGCAUCCGAAACUGUGGAGCUUGAAUGCCGGAGGGGCCCAGAGAAUUCCCGGUGUAGAGGUGAAAUUCGUAAAUAUCGGAAGGAACAUCAGUGGCGAAGGCGGCUACCUGGACAACAACUGACACUGAGGCACGAAAGCGUGGGGAGCAAACAGG
rnacentral:rRNA from 1 species